rnacentral:lncRNA from 1 species
GGUGCGGAUAAAAUUUUUUUAGAAUUUUUUUUGUAUUUUUCAUGUUUAUUUUAGAGUUUAUUUUCGAGGUUUGUCGUUGUCUCUUCUAAUAAUAUUAUCUUCAAUGCUUGAAUACAUGUUCUCUCAUCAAUACUGUAAUAUGACUUAUCAUUGUACCCAAUAUUUAAAUUUUAAAAUUCAUGUACAAAUCAAGUUAGCUUGAGUUGAUUUAGUAGUUGGUUUCAUUAUUAUAAUAUAAUAAUUUUUU